GGGCGUGUAACUCAGCGGUCAGAGUGCUAUCUUCACAUGAUAGAAGUCCGGGGUUCAAAUCCUCGCACGCCCA
rnacentral:tRNA from 1 species